GGGUUUACUGCAGACUCAGGAAUGACUCUGGCCCUAUAAUAGUGACACUUAAUUGGAAGCCAUAUACCCUGCCUGGCGUAUGGAGAACCUUAUGCC